GAUGAACGCUGACAGAAUGCUUAACACAUGCAAGUCUACUUGAUUACCUUCGGGUAUGAUGGUGGCGGACGGGUGAGUAACGCGUAAAGAACUUGCCCCUCAGUCUGGGACAACUGUUGGAAACGACAGCUAAUACCGGAUAUUAUGAGAUGAUCGCAUGAUCGACUCAUGAAAGCUAUAUGCGCUGAGGGAGAGCUUUGCGUUCCAUUAGCUAGUUGGUGAGGUAACGGCUCACCAAGGCGACGAUGGAUAGCCGGCCUGAGAGGGUGAUCGGCCACAAGGGGACUGAGACACGGCCCUUACUCCUACGGGAGGCAGCAGUGGGGAAUAUUGGACAAUGGACCAAAAGUCUGAUCCAGCAAUUCUGUGUGCACGAUGAAGGUCUUCGGAUUGUAAAGUGCUUUCAGUUGGGAAGAAGAAAGUGACGGUACCAACAGAAGAAGCGACGGCUAAAUACGUGCCAGCCGCCGCCGUAAAAC
rnacentral:rRNA from 1 species